UACGGAGGGGGCUAGCGUUGUUCGGAAUUACUGGGCGUAAAGCGCACGUAGGCGGAACAGAAAGUCAGAGGUGAAAUCCCAGGGCUCAACCUUGGAACUGCCUUUGAAACUCCUGUUCUUGAGGUCGAGAGAGGUGAGUGGAAUUCCGAGUGUAGAGGUGAAAUUCGUAGAUAUUCGGAGGAACACCAGUGGCGAAGGCGGCUCACUGGCUCGAUAAUGACGCUGAGGUGCGAAAGCGUGGGGAACAAACAGG
rnacentral:rRNA from 1 species